rnacentral:rRNA from 1 species
AGAGUUUGAUCCUGGCUCAGAUUGAACGCUGGCGGCAUGCCUUACACAUGCAAGUCGAACGGCAGCGGACCUUCGGGUGCCGGCGAGUGGCGAACGGGUGAGUAAUGUAUCGGAACGUACCUUUCAGUGGGGGAUAACGUAGCGAAAGUUACGCUAAUACCGCAUAUUCUGUGAGCAGGAAAGCAGGGGAUCGCAAGACCUUGCGCUGAUUGAGCGGCCGAUAUCAGAUUAACUAGUUGGUGAGGUAAAGGCUCACCAAGGCGACGAUCUGUAGCGGGUCUGAGAGGAUGAUCCGCCACACUGGAACUGAGACACGGUCCAGACUCCUACGGGAGGCAGCAGUGGGGAAUUUUGGACAAUGGGGGCAACCCUGAUCCAGCCAUGCCGCGUGAGUGAAGAAGGCCUUCGGGUUGUAAAGCUCUUUCGGCCGGGAAGAAAUCGCAUGGGUUAAUACCCUGUGCGGAUGACGUACCGGCAUAA